UACGUAGGGUGCAAGCGUUAAUCGGAAUUACUGGGCGCAAAGCGUGCGCAGGCGGUUUUGUAAGUCUGUCGUGAAAGCCCCGGGCUCAACCUGGGAAUUGCGAUGGAGACUGCAAGGCUUGAAUCUGGCAGAGGGGGGUAGAAUUCCACGUGUAGCAGUGAAAUGCGUAGAGAUGUGGAGGAACACCGAUGGCGAAGGCAGCCCCCUGGGUCAAGAUUGACGCUCAUGCACGAAAGCGUGGGGAGCAAACAGG
rnacentral:rRNA from 1 species